GGGGGAUCGUGACCCACAAUGGGUG
rnacentral:misc_RNA from 1 species